CUUGUGAUGUGUCGAAACGCCUUAUAGAGUAACACUGUGGUUUUGCUUUACUCACAGGACUAUUUGUUAGGUCUGUGGGAAAGAACUACAAGACAAUU